rnacentral:rRNA from 1 species
UACAGAGGGUGCGAGCGUUAAUCGGAAUUACUGGGCGUAAAGGGCGCGUAGGCGGCCUACUAAGUCAGACGUGAAAUCCCCGGGCUUAACCUGGGAACUGCACUUGUGACUGCAUAGCUGGAGUACGGCAGAGGGGGAUGGAAUUCCGCGUGUAGCAGUGAAAUGCGUAGAUAUGCGGAGGAACACCGAUGGCGAAGGCAGUCCCCUGGGCCUGUACUGACGCUCAUGCACGAAAGCGUGGGGAGCAAACAGG